UAGACGAGAUGUGUUCAAUACUACCAAUCAGAUUCUUACUAGAUGACGUGAAACAAUUAUCACGUCAUUUCUUAAAAAUCUGAUUGGUUGACUGAAUACAUCUCCUUUAAGUGGAUA